UACGUAGGGGGCAAGCGUUGUCCGGAUUUAUUGGGCGUAAAGAGCGUGUAGGCGGCCAAACAGGUCAGCUGUGAAAACUCGAGGCUCAACCUCGAGACGUCGGUUGAAACCGUUUGGCUAGAGUCCGGAAGAGGAGAGUGGAAUUCCCGGUGUAGCGGUGAAAUGCGCAGAUAUCGGGAGGAACACCGGUGGCGAAGGCGGCUCUCUGGGACGGUACUGACGCUGAGACGCGAAAGCGUGGGGAGCGAACAGG
rnacentral:rRNA from 1 species